UGGGGAAUAUUGCACAAUGGGCGCAAGCCUGAUGCAGCCAUGCCGCGUGUGUGAAGAAGGCCUUCGGGUUGUAAAGCACUUUCAGCGAGGAGGAAGGCGUUAAGGUUAAUAACCUUAGUGAUUGACGUUACUCGCAGAAGAAGCACCGGCUAACUCCGUGCCAGAAGCCGCGGUAAUACGGAGGGGGCAAGCGUUAAUCGGAAUUACUGGGCGUAAAGCGCACGCAGGCGGUUUGUUAAGUCAGAUGUGAAAUCCCCGAGCUUAACUUGGGAACUGCAUUUGAAACUGGCAAGCUAGAGUCUUGUAGAGGGGGGUAGAAUUCCAGGUGU
rnacentral:rRNA from 1 species